rnacentral:rRNA from 1 species
GAUGAACGCUGGCGGCGUGCCUAAUACAUGCAAGUCGAGCGAACGGACGAGAAGCUUGCUUCUCUGAUGUUAGCGGCGGACGGGUGAGUAACACGUGGAUAACCUACCUAUAAGACUGGGAUAACUUCGGGAAACCGGAGCUAAUGCCGGAUAAUAUUUUGAACCGCAUGGUUCAAAAGUGAAAGACGGUCUUGCUGUCACUUAUAGAUGGAUCCGCGCUGCAUUAGCUAGUUGGUAAGGUAACGGCUUACCAAGGCAACGAUGCAUAGCCGACCUGAGAGGGUGAUAGGCCGCACUGGAACGGAGACACGGUCAAGACUACUACGGGAGGCAGCAGUAGGGAAUCUUCCGCAAUGGGCGAAAGCCUGACGGAGCAACGCCGCGUGAGUGAUGAAGGUCUUCGGAUCGUAAAACUCUGUUAUUAGGGAAGAACAUAUGUGUAAGUAACUGUGCACAUCUUGACGGUACCUAAUCAGAAAGCCACGGCUAACUACGUG